UGGAAGAGCUUGCUCUUCCUGAUUAGUGGCGCACGGGUGAGUAUACCAUAGAUAAUGUACCUCUUAGUUCGGGAUAGCCACUGGAAACGGUGAUUAAUACCGGAUACUCCUUCUCAUUAUAAGAUGAGUCGGGAAAGUUUUUUCGCUAAGAGAUCAGUCUAUGUCCUAUCAGCUAGUUGGUGAGGUAAUGGCUCACCAAGGCUAUGACGGGUAUCUGGUUUGAGAGGAUGAUCAGACACACUGGAACUGAGACACGGUCCAGACUCCUACGGGAGGCAGCAGUGAGGAAUAUUGCACAAUGGAGGAAACUCUGAUGCAGCAACGCCGCGUGGAGGAUGACGCAUUUCGGUGUGUAAACUCCUUUUAAGAGGGAAGAUUAUGACGGUACCUCUUGAAUAAGCACCGGCUAACUCCGUGCCAGCAGCCGCGGUAAUACGGAGGGUGCAAGCGUUACUCGGAAUCACUGGGCGUAAAGGGUGCGUAGGCUGACUUUUAAGUCAGGCGUGAAAUCCAAUGGCUUAACCAUUGAACUGCGCUUGAAACUGGGAGUCUAGAGUUCAGAAGGGGCAGAUGGAAUUAGUGGUGUAGGGGUAAAAUCCGUAGAUAUCACUAGGAAUAUCAAAAGCGAAGGCGAUCUGCUGGGAUGAUACUGACGCUGAGGCACGAAAGCGUGGGGGAGCAAACAGGAUUAGAUACCCUGGUAGUCCACGCCCUAAACGAUGAAUGCUAGUCGUCGGGGUACUCGUUACUUCGGUGAUGCACUUAACAGAU
rnacentral:rRNA from 1 species